CAGUAGCCGCGGGAAUACGUAGGUGGCAAGCGUUGUCCGGAAUUAUUGGGCGUAAAGCGCGCGCAAGCGGAUAGGUCAGUCUGUCUUAAAAGUUCGGGGCUUAACCCCGUGAUGGGAUGGAAACUGCCAAUCUAGAGUAUCGGAGAGGAAAGUGGAAUUCCUAGUGUAGCGGUGAAAUGCGUAGAUAUUAGGAAGAACACCAGUGGCGAAGGCGACUUUCUGGACGAAAACUGACGCUGAGGCGCGAAAGCCAGGGGAGCGAACGGGAUUAGAUACCCCAGUAGUCCCUGUCUCUUAUACC
rnacentral:rRNA from 1 species